rnacentral:pre_miRNA from 1 species
UACAUACUCCCUCCGUCCGAAAAUACUUGUCAUCAAAAUGGAGAAAAGGAGAUGUAUCUAGAACUAAAAUACAUCUAGAUACAUCCUCUUUUAUCCAUUUUGAUGACAAGUAUUUUCGGACGGAGGGAGUACCUC